GGUGGAUGCCCUGGCAGUCAGAGGCGAUGAAGGACGUGCUAAUCUGCGAUAAGCGCCGGUAAGGUGAUAUGAACCGUUAUAACCGGCGAUUUCCGAAUGGGGAAACCCAGUGUGACUCGUCACACUAUCAUUAACUGAAUCCAUAGGUUAAUGAGGCGAACCGGGGGAACUGAAACAUCUAAGUACCCCGAGGAAAAGAAAUCAACCGAGAUUCCCCCAGUAGCGGCGAGCGAACGGGGAGGAGCCCAGAGCCUGAAUCAGCAUGUGUGUUAGUGGAAGCGUCUGGAAAGGCGCGCGAUACAGGGUGACAGCCCCGUACACAAAAGCGCAUGUGCUGUGAGCUCGAUGAGUAGGGCGGGACACGUGGUAUCCUGUCUGAAUAUGGGGGGACCAUCCUCCAAGGCUAAAUACUCCUGACUGACCGAUAGUGAACCAGUACCGUGAGGGAAAGGCGAAAAGAACCCCGGCGAGGGGAGUGAAAAAGAACCUGAAACCGU
rnacentral:rRNA from 2 species